UUGAUAGUGAAACUCCCUUCUCCUCCGACACAAUUUAGGUAUUUCAACACAUCACAGAAGUAUUCUCCUCCGAUCGAUUUGGGCAUAAAAGGUGAAACCCCCUUCUCCUCCGAUGCGAUUUCGUGAUUUCAGCCACGGGGUAAGUUUCUCCUCUGAUCGAUUUAGGGUUUUAAGGCUGAAAUCAUUGAAGGCAAGCAUAGUCCAACAGACAAUGAGUUGGAAAUUGGAUUUGUUCUUUAUAGCCUACGAACAGCAGCGACGGCGAUGUGAAUAGAAGAAAGGGGGGAUUUGUUCUUCGUAGCCUACGAACAGUAGUAGCAGUAGCCUCCGAUCCUCUGUGUUAGUGCAUAGCCUACUGUUGUUUGAGCCUACAAACAACAACAACGGUUUUAUCGAUCCUCUGUGUUAGUACACACUCUAUUUUUGGUUAGUUGGUCUUGCAGAUGCUAUAGCUGACAUAUUCCCAGAAGCACAUCACAGAAACUACUGCAGACAUCUGUAUAGUAAUUUCAAAGCAUCAUUCCCUGGACUGUUGUUGAAGACCCAAUUUUGGAUUGCAUGCAAAGCACCUAAUGAGUUCAUCUACAACAAGGCAAUGGAAAGAAUUACGGAGGUCAAUAAGUACUUAUGAUUGGUUAGUGAAGAACAACCAACCUUCAAUGUGGUGCAGGCAUGCAUUUGAUAAAAGAGCCAAGAGUGAUCAUAUAACGAACAACAUGACCAAGUCUUUCAACAACUGGACUGGGGAAUUGAGGAAGGAAGAAUUCUGAUGUUGACCAUGAUGGAACUCUCAGCUCACAGAUGGUAACCAGAUCACAAGCUACAAUUACAGGAAGUCAACCCACUUUUAAAGAAAGACAAAGGGAUAGAAUGGCUAAGAAGACAACAUUGAUGGCAGCAAAGAGAGCUAGUAAAAAAGAGGAGAGUGGAAGGAAAAAUUAAAGAAUGAUGGAGUUAGUCAUAUUUGAUAGAUAUUAUGUUUUGUAAUAUCAAUCUUUUAUGGAUGUUUUAGAAUUUGUGGAUGGGAGUCUUGGUUGACCUUGUUUUAUUUUUGUCUUGGUUGAACUUGUUUUCAUUUGGUCUUGGUGGAGCAUAUGUUGGUAUUCUAUUGGAUGUGGAAUCCCUUGUUUGGAGCUUGUUUUAUUUAGUCUUGGUGGAAUAGGUUGUUUAUGUAAGAAAUUAUGGUUGAGUUUUUUUAGGUCUUUCUGAAUGAAGUUGGACUUCUUGUCAUGAAUAUGAAUUGAUCUUGUUGUUAUGAGUA